rnacentral:tRNA from 1 species
CGGAAUGUAGCGCAGCCUGGUUAGCGCGUCAGUCUGGGGGACUGGAGGUCAUGGGUUCGAAUCCCGUCAUUCCGA